GUAGUUUCGUGUGCGGAAAAAUGUGGAAAAUUCACGCUCAACUGCGUAAAUUUUCCGCACGGUAGUAAAUAUAGUGUGGUGCAGUGCUAAAUCCUUGGCUACAUCAUUCAACAGUAGCGGCAUUUCAACAGUCACAAGGACGUCAAGCCGGUGCAUAAGCAAUCAACCCAGAGCUUGUUCCGAUGAAUGCGCACGAUCUGGAUUGGUUCCUGCGGAGAGAAGAGGGCGAGGGCAAGGUGCACUGCGAAGAGUACGGCCGGAUGCUGAAUGCCGAUCUAAGCAAGAUCUGCAUGAGGGACAAAUAGUAUAAUGGACUUAUUGUAAAAAAUCUGAUUUUUUCCAUUCCUUUAAUUUGACUGCAAUAGUUUUAUCAUCAAACUCUUUUGGUGAAAUCAAAUGUGAAACUGAGUAGAACCGUAGAGCCAUCUUUUGCAUUUGGUAGCUUUGUAAGGUCUUUUAAUAUAGGUUCGCUCUUUAAACCUGGAAUACAUGCAUGCGUUUGAAUCAAAUUCUAUAUUGUAUGUUGUAUUCCACAAGCUGUAGUUCAUCAAAUGUCUUUAAGUGCUGCAAUAAUGGUUAAACACGCUGUAAUGUUACAUUUGUACCUCAUCACCCACUAAAUGCAGCUACAUUAGUGGACUAAUAACACUUAGCGCGCUUCGGCACGGUUCCAUCAUGCCGCUUAUAGUGUUGCCACAUAUAAUGCUUAGUCUGCUAAACCCAGUUAUCUGGCUGGUGGGGCAUGGGAGCCUAAGUUUCGACCAUCAAUGCAAUCAGACGUUAUUUGAACUACAAAAUGAGCGAUCCAAAUAUUUGAAGAACUAUUAAAACUAUAUAGAAGCUUGUGUAUAGUCAACAUUUAACGAACCUAAUCUAUGCAAUAUUUUGCAUUUUAACAAUUCGAACGAUCUUCAAGUAUAGGUUCAAGUUGUAGUAUAUCGAGUAUUUUUAAGUGCUACAAUGAAGGUUAAGCACGCUGUAAUGUUACUUUUGUACCUCAUCACCCACUAAAUGCAACUACAUUAGUGGUCUAAUAACACUUAGCGCGCUUCGGCACGGUUCCAUCAUGCCGCUUAUAGUGUUGCCACAUAUAAUGCUUAGUCUGCUAAACCCAGUUAUCUGGCUGUGGGGCAUGGGAGCCAACGCUUCAACCAUCAAUGCAAUUAAACAUUACUCGAUUUACUACAUGAGUGAUCCAAAUAUUUGAUAAUUGUUCGAUCUGUUUUUGAAAUGUAGCUUAAAAUAUACAAGCUUCUAGUCCAAAUGCAUAAUAAUAGUUCAAUUUCGCUUCAUUCAGGAUUUGCUCAAGCAGUUUAUAUUUUUUGUUAAGUUAAACUUAGAGGUUGAAGUUAGAAUUUUCUGUUUCACAAUAGAAAACAAUUUCCUUGACAAUUUCCAAACCAUUCGAUUUAAUGUAAAAAGUGUGCAAAACAGUAUGUUCUGUAUCACAAUAGACAACAAUUCCAAAACAAUUGAAUCUAACGUGGAGCCAGUAAUAAAGUCACUGCUCAAAGCAACACGUUUACCGUACAUUUCACUGUUACGAACAAUUUAAAAACAUAAGAAUCUUCUGUACUACGAUAGAAAACAAUUCCCACACCAUUGAAUCAAUUGUGGAACCAGGAGUGAAAUCACUACUCAGAACAAUACGUUUACCGUUCGAUUCACUGUUUGAAACAAUUCGAAAACAUAAGAAUCUUUUGUAUCAUAAUAGAAAACAAUACCCAAACAAUUGAAUUCAAUGUAAAAACAGUACAAACAGUAUGUUCGGCUUCACAAUAGAAAACAAUUUCAAUACAAUUGAAUCAAAUGUGGAACCAGAAAUAAAAUAACUACCCAAAACAAUA